GUGUAAAGCUACAUAAAUAAUUCAGUCAGAUAUUUCCAUGAUGGACGGUAAUUAUAAACAUUUGAACCGUAAAACCGAUGUUUACAACUAUACUACGUAUAUUGUUAUUGACGUACACGGACAGAACACGAUGUCCACUGGACAUAUAAUAAGAUAUAUGCUUACAACACGUGUAGGAAGUACGUAUAGAGGUACUCACGACGGGUUUUCUCCAGCAAAGUUUCGGCAUCUUCUGCGUCGCCGCCGGAACACGAUCGCGA